rnacentral:rRNA from 1 species
CCCUACGGGGGGCAGCAGUGGGGGAUAUUGCACAAUGGGGGGGACCCUGAUGCAGCGACGCCGCGUGGGCGAUGGAGUGCUUCGGCAUGUAAAGCCCUAUCAGCAGGGAAGAAAAUGACGGUACCUGACUAAGAAGCCCCGGCUAACUACGUGCCAGCAGCCGCGGUAAUACGUAGGGGGCAAGCGUUAUCCGGAUUUACUGGGUGUAAAGGGAGCGUAGACGGCUGCGCAAGUCAGAAGUGAAAGCCCGGGGCUCAACCGCGGGACUGCUUUUGAAACUGUGUAGCUAGAGUGCAGGAGAGGUA